GAAAGUUCCGGCGGUACAGGAUGAGUCUGCAUCUGAUUAGCUAGUUGGUGGUGUAAUGGACUACCAAGGCGACGAUCAGUAGCUGGUUUGAGAGGAUGAUCAGCCACAAUGGGACUGAGACACGGCCCAUACUCCUACGGGAGGCAGCAGUAGGGAAUUUUGCGCAACGGGCGAAAGCCUGACGCAGCAACGCCGCGUGAUCGAGACGCCCUUCGGGGUGUAAAGAUCUGUCAGUGGGGACGAAACUUGACGGUACCCACAGAGGAAGCACCGGCUAACUCCGUGCCAGCAGCCGCGGUAAUACGGGGGGUGCAAGCGUUGUCCGGAAUCAUUGGGCGUAAAGAGUUCGUAGGCGGCACGUAAAGUCUGGUGUUAAAGGCAGAGGCUCAACUUCUGUACGGCACUGGAUACUUGCGAGCUAGAAUGCGGUAGAGGUAAAGGGAAUUCCUGGUGUAGCGGUGAAAUGCUUAGAUAUCAGGAGGAACAUCGGUGGCGUAAGCGCUUUACUGGGCCGUAAUUGACGCUGAGGAACGAAAGCCAGGGUAGCAAAUGGGAUUAGAUACCCCAGUAGUCCUGGCCGUAAACGAUGGAUACUAGGUGUUGCGGGUAUCGACCCCUGCA
rnacentral:rRNA from 1 species